CGCCAUAUCUCGGACGAGAGUUUAAUUAAUUUGUAGAAUCGUCGUCGUCGAUAUGAAUGCCAGCAAGAUGACUCCGAUUCUGUUCGCCAUACUCUUGGCAUGCCUCGCCUUCUCUGCAAACUCUUCCGGUGCAGGCGAACGUGGUGACGAGGAGAGACCAGCGGCAACAGCUGGUCACCGGCGGUGGCAGCCAAACGGCGACACGACGAUGAUGGGGAGGAGCAGCAGCACGACGAUGGACAUGGUGGCGGGCAGGUGCGAGAGGAGUGUAUGCGAGGGCAGCCCCUGUUACUGCUGCCCAUCGCAGGCCACUAGGCCUUGCUUCUUGGAGCUGGAUGCUUGCUUGAGAGUCUGCACCUAAAACCUUGUGACUAUUGACAAGACGAGAUCAGAACACAUGAACAAGUAUCACGCCGUGAAGUUUCUCCAUCUAUAAACAGAUUAAAAAAAUUCCAUAUCUGUAAGCACAUCAUGCUAAUGCAUCUAUAUACCUACAAAAAUUUGUGCAAUAGAUCGAUUAAUGUGUUUACA